rnacentral:rRNA from 1 species
CCUACGGGGGGCAGCAGUAGGGAAUUUUGCGCAAUGGGCGAAAGCCUGACGCCUCCCCGCCGCUUGCCCUCUCCUCCCUUCUUUUUUUCCCUUUCUUUCCUUUUUUACGAAAAAUGACGGUACCCACAGAGGAAGCACCGGCUAACUCCGUGCCAGCAGCCGCGGUAAUACGGAGGGUGCAAGCGUUGUCCGGAAUCAUUGGGCGUAAAGAGUUCGUAGGCGGCAUGUAAAGUCAGGUGUUAAAGGCGCAGGCUCAACCUGUGUAUGGCACUUGAUAUUUGCAAGCUGGAAUGCGGUAGAGGUAAAGGGAAUUCCUGGUGUAGCGGUGAAAUGCUUAGAUAUCAGGAGGAACAUCGGUGGCGUAAGCGCUUUACUGGGCCGUAAUUGACGCUGAGGAACGAAAGCCAGGGUAGCAAAUGGGAUUAGAUAAAACUGUAGUC